rnacentral:piRNA from 1 species
CAUUAGGAAUAAGUAGUUUAGUGUCU